rnacentral:rRNA from 1 species
UCCCAGACUCCUACGGGAGGCAGCAGUGGGGAAUAUUGGGCAAUGGGCGCAAGCCUGACCCAGCAACGCCACGUGAAGGAAGAAGGCUUUCGGGUUGUAAACUUCUUUUCUAAGGGACGAAGAAAGUGACGGUACCUUAGGAAUAAGCUCCGGCUAACUACGUGCCAGCAGCCGCGGUAAUACGUAGGGAGCGAGCGUUAUCCGGAUUUACUGGGUGUAAAGGGCGUGUAGGCGGGAUGGCAAGUCAGGCGUGAAAACUAUGGGCUCAACCCAUAGCCUGCGUUUGAAACUGUCGUUCUUGAGUGAUGGAGAGGCAAGCGGAAUUCCGUGUGUAGCGGUGAAAUGCGUAGAUAUACGGAGGAACACCAGUGGCGAAGGCGGCUUGCUGGACAUUAACUGACGCUGAGGCGCGAAGGCGUGGGGAGCAAACAGGAUUAGAUACCCUCGUAA